GGAGACGUGUCCGAGCGGCCGAAGGGGCUACACUGGAAAUGUAGUAAACGGCUUAAACCGUUUCGUGGGUUCGAAUCCCACCGUCUCCG
rnacentral:tRNA from 1 species